rnacentral:rRNA from 1 species
UAAUUCUCGAUAGGUGAGGAACUCUGGAAUGAGUCUUUGCCAAAAAGACGUUUGCGUUAUGCUCGUAGGCGUCGCCCAAGGAUGAGGCCGCGGCCGAUCAGGUUGUUGGUGAGGUAAUGGCUCACCAAGCCUUUUACCGGUGCGGGCCGUGGGAGCGGGAGCCCGGAGAUGGGCACUGAGACAAGGGCCCAGGCCCUACGGGGCGCAGCAGUCGCGAAAACUUUGCAAUACACGAAAGUGUGACAGGGCUAUCCCGAGUGCCAUCCGCUGAGGAAGGCUUUUACCCAGUAUAGAUCGCUGGGGGAAUAAGGAGAGGGCAAGUCUGGUGU